ACAUAACACUAACAGGUAGAAGAUCUAAACGGAAAUGCGAUGUCCUCAGCUGUCUACGGUAAGCCUGACCGGCCUUGGCUACUGUACUGGCUAUUAUGAUGAUUUCCGAGAUGUAGACGUCAUCAUGUUUCAAUACCGACCCUGUGCUACCUGGGAGAAUCAUGUGACCCUGUCUGACCGGCCUUGGCAGCUGUACUUGUGAUCAUGGUGUUGUACGAGCGGUAGAUGUGAUCAUGUUUCAAUAUCGAACCUGUCCUCCUACAUAAAGGCAUACCCUGUCUGCUGAAGAUCGCAAACUGGACUGAACGCCGUGCGUUGAGAAGUCUCUGAAGAUCAGUCUGCAGUAGUCAGUCAGUUAUCAAACACUCCGUAAGCAAUUGAUGGUGUCCGCUUCAGUUCUUUCUCGCGCACAGAAUGGCCGCCCGUGAGCAGUAUGUCGAGCUACAUAUGGGGUGCCCAGCGGUGGGCUGCCCUGACAGCCGAAAACGAGACUUGACUACCAAGAACUGGUUUAGCGCCACUUGUGGUGGUGUGAUGAUGAUCAGCCAGUUUGGAAAUUUGAAAUGCAAGUGCACUAGUCGUUCAUCCAAGUGUGUUCAGGCCCAGAUGUAUUCGUUUCGCUUCGACUGUGGACUUCGCGGACCGGGCUCUCCACAUGACAAUGAACUCAGCCGAUACCGCGAGGCAGAUCUCCAGGGCAUUACCCACGCGAUAGGUGCAGCAUUGGCAAUGAACUACCUUAUGUCCAACGGCCUGGCAUGGGUGAAAAGCCUCCUGGACGCCAUAGAUCAGCAAUAUCCAGACGCCAAAAAAUGAUUCUUUAAUGAUGUGUUGAAAUAACAUGCUGCAGUUUAAUAACUACAUGGUAUAGUUCUGUGGUUCUGCAUACUUACAUUUCUCUCGGGGUUUUUUCUUUUCCUUUUUUUCACAACCAUCACAUGUACCAGAGCUCAAAGAGACAGAAGCGGAAAGGUUAGCAUUUGCUGCCUUGUACGCGAACUGUUCUAUUAUUAUUAUUAUAGUUCUGUAACAUAUACAUAUACUUACUUCCAAGUACAACCCGAAUUCGUACUUUCUCUGCAGAACUGAUUCAAUGAACAGUCAAAUGUGUAGUAAUAGUGUGUCUUGAAACUAAAAAUACUUUGUUCUACAUGUUGAUCACGA